rnacentral:rRNA from 1 species
AAUGUGUAAAAGAGAGCGAACCGGGGGAACUGAAACAUCUAAGUACCCCGAGGAAAAGAAAUCAACCGAGAUUCCCCCAGUAGCGGCGAGCGAACGGGGAGCAGCCCAGAGCCUGAAUCAGUGUGUGUGUUAGUGGAAGCGUCUGGAAAGGCGCGCGAUACAGGGUGACAGCCCCGUACACAAAAAUGCACAUGCUGUGAGCUCGAUGAGUAGGGCGGGACACGUGGUAUCCUGUCUGAAUAUGGGGGGACCAUCCUCCAAGGCUAAAUACUCCUGACUGACCGAUAGUGAACCAGUACCGUGAGGGAAAGGCGAAAAGAACCCCGGCGAGGGGAGUGAAAAAGAACCUGAAACCGUGUACGUACAAGCAGUGGGAGCACGCUUAGGCGUGUGACUGCGUACCUUUUGUAUAAUGGGUCAGCGACUUAUAUUCUGUAGCAAGGUUAACCGAAUAGGGGAGCCGAAGGGAAACCGAGUCUUAACUGGGCGUUAAGUUGCAGGGUAUAGACCCGAAACCCGGUGAUCUAGCCAUGGGCAGGUUGAAGGUUGGGUAACACUAACUGGAGGACCGAACCGACUAAUGUUGAAAAAUUAGCGGAUGACUUGUGGCUGGGGGUGAAAGGCCAAUCAAACCGGGAGAUAGCUGGUUCUCCCCGAAAGCUAUUUAGGUAGCGCCUCGUGAAUUCAUCUCCGGGGGUAGAGCACUGUUUCGGCAAGGGGGUCAUCCCGACUUACCAACCCGAUGCAAACUGCGAAUACCGGAGAAUGUUAUCACGGGAGACACACGGCGGGUGCUAACGUCCGUCGUGAAGAGGGAAACAACCCAGACCGCCAGCUAAGGUCCCAAAGUCAUGGUUAAGUGGGAAACGAUGUGGGAAGGCCCAGACAGCCAGGAUGUUGGCUUAGAAGCAGCCAUCAUUUAAAGAAAGCGUAAUAGCUCACUGGUCGAGUCGGCCUGCGCGGAAGAUGUAACGGGGCUAAACCAUGCACCGAAGCUGCGGCAGCGACGCUGAUGCGUUGUUGGGUAGGGGAGCGUUCUGUAAGCCUGCGAAGGUGUGCUGUGAGGCAUGCUGGAGGUAUCAGAAGUGCGAAUGCUGACAUAAGUAACGAUAAAGCGGGUGAAAAGCCCGCUCGCCGGAAGACCAAGGGUUCCUGUCCAACGUUAAUCGGGGCAGGGUGAGUCGACCCCUAAGGCGAGGCCGAAAGGCGUAGUCGAUGGGAAACAGGUUAAUAUUCCUGUACUUGGUGUUACUGCGAAGGGGGGACGGAGAAGGCUAUGUUGGCCGGGCGACGGUUGUCCCGGUUUAAGCGUGUAGGCUGGUUUUCCAGGCAAAUCCGGAAAAUCAAGGCUGAGGCGUGAUGACGAGGCACUACGGUGCUGAAGCAACAAAUGCCCUGCUUCCAGGAAAAGCCUCUAAGCAUCAGGUAACAUCAAAUCGUACCCCAAACCGACACAGGUGGUCAGGUAGAGAAUACCAAGGCGCUUGAGAGAACUCGGGUGAAGGAACUAGGCAAAAUGGUGCCGUAACUUCGGGAGAAGGCACGCUGAUAUGUAGGUGAAGCGACUUGCUCGUGGAGCUGAAAUCAGUCGAAGAUACCAGCUGGCUGCAACUGUUUAUUAAAAACACAGCACUGUGCAAACACGAAAGUGGACGUAUACGGUGUGACGCCUGCCCGGUGCCGGAAGGUUAAUUGAUGGGGUUAGCGCAAGCGAAGCUCUUGAUCGAAGCCCCGGUAAACGGCGGCCGUAACUAUAACGGUCCUAAGGUAGCGAAAUUCCUUGUCGGGUAAGUUCCGACCUGCACGAAUGGCGUAAUGAUGGCCAGGCUGUCUCCACCCGAGACUCAGUGAAAUUGAACUCGCUGUGAAGAUGCAGUGUACCCGCGGCAAGACGGAAAGACCCCGUGAACCUUUACUAUAGCUUGACACUGAACAUUGAGCCUUGAUGUGUAGGAUAGGUGGGAGGCUUUGAAGUGUGGACGCCAGUCUGCAUGGAGCCGACCUUGAAAUACCACCCUUUAAUGUUUGAUGUUCUAACGUUGACCCGUAAUCCGGGUUGCGGACAGUGUCUGGUGGGUAGUUUGACUGGGGCGGUCUCCUCCUAAAGAGUAACGGAGGAGCACGAAGGUUGGCUAAUCCUGGUCGGACAUCAGGAGGUUAGUGCAAUGGCAUAAGCCAGCUUGACUGCGAGCGUGACGGCGCGAGCAGGUGCGAAAGCAGGUCAUAGUGAUCCGGUGGUUCUGAAUGGAAGGGCCAUCGCUCAACGGAUAAAAGGUACUCCGGGGAUAACAGGCUGAUACCGCCCAAGAGUUCAUAUCGACGGCGGUGUUUGGCACCUCGAUGUCGGCUCAUCACAUCCUGGGGCUGAAGUAGGUCCCAAGGGUAUGGCUGUUCGCCAUUUAAAGUGGUACGCGAGCUGGGUUUAGAACGUCGUGAGACAGUUCGGUCCCUAUCUGCCGUGGGCGCUGGAGAACUGAGGGGGGCUGCUCCUAGUACGAGAGGACCGGAGUGGACGCAUCACUGGUGUUCGGGUUGUCAUGCCAAUGGCACUGCCCGGUAGCUAAAUGCGGAAGAGAUAAGUGCUGAAAGCAUCUAAGCACGAAACUUGCCCCGAGAUGAGUUCUCCCUGACUCCUUGAGAGUCCUGAAGGAACGUUGAAGACGACGACGUUGAUAGGCCGGGUGUGUAAGCGCAGCGAUGCGUUGAGCUAACCGGUACUAAUGAACCGUGAGGCUUAACCUU